UACGAAGGGGCUAGCGUUGUUCGGAUUUACUGGGCGUAAAGCGCACGUAGGCGGAUCGUUAAGUCGGGGGUGAAAUCCUGGAGCUCAACUCCAGAACUGCCUUCGAUACUGGCGAUCUUGAGUCCGGAAGAGGUGAGUGGAACUCCUAGUGUAGAGGUGGAAUUCGUAGAUAUUAGGAAGAACACCAGUGGCGAAGGCGGCUCACUGGUCCGGUACUGACGCUGAGGUGCGAAAGCGUGGGGAGCAAACAGG
rnacentral:rRNA from 1 species